rnacentral:rRNA from 1 species
GAUGAACGCUGGCGGCGUGCCUAAUACAUGCAAGUCGAGCGAACGGACGAGAAGCUUGCUUUUCUGAUGUUAGCGGCGGACGGGUGAGUAACACGUGGACAACCUACCUAUAAGACUGGGAUAACUUCGGGAAACCGGAGCUAAUACCGGAUAAUAUUUUGAACCGCAUGGUUCAAAAGUGAAAGACGGUCUUGCUGUCACUUAUAGAUGGAUCCGCGCUGCAUUAGCUAGUUGGUAAGGUAACGGCUUACCAAGGCAACGAUGCAUAGCCGACCUGAGAGGGUGAUCAGCCACACUGGAACUGAGACACGGUCCAGACUCCUACGGGAGGCAGCAGUAGGGAAUCUUCCACAAUGGGCGAAAGCCUGACGGAGCAACGCCGCGUGAGUGAUGAAGGUCUUCGGAUCGUAAAACUCUGUUAUUAGGGACGAACAGAUGUGUGCGAAACUGUGCACCUCUUGACGGUACCUAAUCAGAAAGCCACGGCUAACUACGUG